GUAGUCUGCAACUCGACUACAUGAAGCUGGAAUCGCUAGUAAUCGCAGAUCAGAAUGCUGCGGUGAAUACGUUCCCGGGUCUUGUACACACCGCCCGUCACACCAUGGGAGUCGGAAAUGCCCGAAGCCGGUGACCAAACCAAUAAGGAAGGAGCCGUCGAAGGCAGGUCUGAUAACUGGGGUGAAGUCGUAACAAGGUAUC
rnacentral:rRNA from 1 species